CCGCCCUUAGCUCAGCCUGGUAGAGCAGUCGACUGUAGAUCGACUUGUCCCC
rnacentral:tRNA from 1 species